rnacentral:rRNA from 1 species
GACAGAGGGGGCAAGCGUUGCUCGGAAUUACUGGGCGUAAAGGGCGCGUAGGCGGGAUGGCAAGUCGGUCGUGAAAUCCCUCGGCUCAACCGAGGAACGUCGAUCGAUACUGCUGUUCUUGAGGAUUGCAGAGGAGACUGGAAUUCCCGGUGUAGCGGUGAAAUGAGUAGAGAUCGGGAGGAACACCGGUGGCGAAGGCGGGUCUCUGGGCAAUUCCUGACGCUGAGGCGCGAAAGCGUGGGGAGCAAACGGG